UACGGAGGGUGCGAGCGUUGUCCGGAAUCAUUGGGCGUAAAGGGUGCGUAGGUGGCGCUGUAAGUCAGGUGUGAAAUUUCGGAGCUUAACUCCGAAACUGCAUUUGAUACUGCGGUGCUUGAGGACUGGAGAGGAGACUGGAAUUUACGGUGUAGCAGUGAAAUGCGUAGAGAUCGUAAGGAAGACCAGUGGCGAAGGCGGGUCUCUGGACAGUUCCUGACACUGAGGCACGAAGGCCAGGGGAGCAAACGGG
rnacentral:rRNA from 1 species